AAUCAACGCUGGCGGCGUGCCUAACACAUGCAAGUCGAACGGGAAACGGGGGCAACUCCGUGAGUAUAGUGGCGUACGGGUGAGUAACACGUGACUACCUACCUUUGAGUGGGGGAUAACCCCGGGAAACCGGGGCUAAUACCGCAUAACAUCGCAAGAUCAAAGAAGCAAUUCGCUUAAAGAGGGGGUCGCGGCUGAUUAGCUAGUUGGUAGGGUAAUGGCCUACCAAGGCGAUGAUCGGUAGCCGGCCNGAGAGGGCGCACGGCCACACUGGAACUGAAACACGGUCCAGACUCCUACGGGAGGCAGCAGUGGGGAAUUUUGCGCAAUGGGGAAACCCUGACGCAGCAACGCCGCGUGGAGGAUGAAGUCCCUUGGGACGUAAACUCCUUUCGACCGGGACGAUUAUGACGGUACCGGUGGAAGAAGCCCCGG
rnacentral:rRNA from 1 species